rnacentral:tRNA from 1 species
AUUGCAAUAGCUUAAUAAAGAGUAUAAUAUUGAAGAUAUUAAGGUGAUAAAAUUCUUGUAGUA